rnacentral:rRNA from 2 species
CCGGGAUUGCCUCAGUAACGGCGAGUGAAGCGGCAAGAGCUCAAAUUUGAAAGCUGGCCCCCUGCGGGGUCCGCAUUGUAAUUUGCAGAGGAUGCUUCGGAUCCGGCCCCUGUCUAAGUGCUCUGGAACGGGCCGUCGGAGAGGGUGAGAAUCCCGUCUGGGACGGGGAGUCCGGGUCCAUGUGAAGCUCCUUCAACGAGUCGAGUUGUUUGGGAAUGCAGCUCUAAAUGGGUGGUAAAUUUCAUCUAAAGCUAAAUACUGGCCGGAGACCGAUAGCGCACAAGUAGAGUGAUCGAAAGAUGAAAAGCACUUUGAAAAGAGAGUUAAAAAGCACGUGAAAUUGUUGAAAGGGAAGCGCUUGCGAUCAGACUCGCCCGCGGGGUUCAGCCGGCAUUCGUGCCGGUGUACUUCCCCGUGGGCGGGCCAGCGUCGGUUCGGGCGGCCGGUCAAAGGCCCUGGGAAUGUAGCGCCCUCCGGGGCGUCUUAUAGCCCAGGGUGCCAUGCGGCCUGCCCGGACCGAGGAACGCGCUUCGGCUCGGACGCUGGCGUAAUGGUCGUAAGCGACCCGUCUUGAAACACGGACCAAGGAGUCUAACAUCUACGCGAGUGUUUGGGUGGCAAACCCAUACGCGCAGUGAAAGCGAACGGAGGUGGGAGCCUUUCGGGGCGCACCAUCGACCGAUCCUGAUGUCUUCGGAUGGAUUUGAGUAAGAGCGUAGCUGUGGGGACCCGAAAGAUGGUGAACUAUGCCUGAAUAGGGCGAAGCCAGAGGAAACUCUGGUGGAGGCUCGCAGCGGUUCUGACGUGCAAAUCGAUCGUCAAAUUUGGGUAUAGGGGCGAAAGACUAAUCG